ACCGACCCGACCCCACUUCACCUCUUCUUCUCUCCUACGCGAGAACCAAAAGUCAAGAGCUGCAAACCCAGAAAUCGCGGACAGCAGCCAAAAUCGCGAGCAGUACCAAACCCAUACGUCACCCAUCUGCAAACCCAUAACCCUAGCAACCUAAUCGAUCACUUCGUCGUCCCCUUUCCCCCCUUUUCACGGGAAUUCAGCUUUUUCCCAUCCCCUUUACUGUGGCUUCGAAAAUACCAGAAGAAAUUCAAUUUUUUGUUUGAAUUCUUAAUGGAUUUUCCCCCAAAAUGAUUUUUUCUUCUUCUAUAUAUUCUCUCUUUCAAUCACUGUUUAGCAGGGGAUUUUUUGGAUAAAAAAGGGAGGAUUUUUUCAGACACUAAUUGACCGCCCUAAAACAGAGCGAAUAUCAUCAAAAGAAAAAGUUGUUUUACUUUUGGGAGCUCAUCGAAAUCGGCUCACAGUGGUGGAAGUUCUUCGUGGUCAAGUUCGAGUCCCGGCCUCGCUGCCCCGGAAAAGGUGAUCUCCUAGCCUAUUUUAGUUUUUUUUUUCCUAUUUAUGUGCUAAGUUGUUCUUUUUUGGAGCCUGCUCUGUAGUUCUUAAUUCUAUUUUCUCUUAGAUUGAAUUCCGUUCAUGCUAUUGAGUCACUACCUUGAUAUGUGUUUGUUCAAUUAAUUAUGUGUCUUAGGCUAAGGGUCCAUUUUCUCAAGAAUUUUGUUUUGUUCCUUUCUUUCUAGUUCAGAGCCUUGUAGUUGAUCAUUUGUUAUUCAAUAUUUUUGAAUUGUCUACAUUCUUGUUUGAAUCUUAUUUAUUGUCUGCUGAAGAAAUUGUUUACUAUUUUCCUUAUAUGACUUAGUUUGAGAAUAAAUUGUUAGUUAUCUUUUCCCCUUCAAUACAUAUCAUAUGAUCUUUGACAAUGUUAUUGAUUUUAAUGGCUUGAUUUCCUAGCCUAGUUUCCCAUGUUCUUUAUUUUUAGGAGCAACUCUUAAUAGUUUCAGAUUCCAUAAUUUAAUUUGCUUAGUGGAUUAUUUUUAUCCAUUUUUGAACAAGUGUGGUUGAUCCCAGGAAGUUUGGUUAUUUUUUAGCAUUUGGAAAAUGUUAUCUUGUUAAAUGGGUUGAUUUUAAACUAAGUGCAUUUGUUUUACAUUUUCUUGUUAACUUAAGCAUAUUUGGUUGUGUUAUGUCUUUCUUAGUUAGCACAGUUUGAUGUUUGGAUGUAGCCGAAUCAAUCAUGCUUGAUUUGCUAAGUUUCAGCUUCUUCCAUUUGUUCAUCACAUAGCUAGUAUAUAAUCUUCAAAUAAGCUCAAAGAUUUAGAAGUGUUCAAUGUGUUUUGGAAUAAUACCAUGCGCUGUGAUUGAUUUCCCUAGAUGAUAAUGCAAUGUGGUUGGAAAUUAAUAGUGCUUACAUGUGGUCUCUUCCAAUUCUUGGUGUGUAAGGUUAACUGCAAUUGAAUUUGCAAUGAAAAUGCCAAAGUUUCCUUUAGUUUAAAACUAGUACAUCAAUUAAUCUUCUUAUUCUAUUUGCUAAUUUGUAUUUAGUUGUUCACUUUGUGUAUGUCCGAGUGAGUCCUAUGUACUCAUGUCUACACCUCGCAUUUCAAAUGGGUCUUGGAGGCCUAAAACUCCCUCUUAUCAAGUCAACCUCAUCAUUGGGAGCAUAUGGAAUUCGGAGAGGAAAUAUAUGUUAUAAAAGAAGCUGAAACAGGUCUUGAAAAGUAGAAAAAGGGGUUGUAUACAAGAUGUAUACAGCUGUAUACACUUAUAUACAGGUCAAAAACGCAAAAAAAAUAGGGCGGAGGCAAAACACAGGUGUUCGGAAGCAAGAAAUACAUGAAAGGGGCCGAUAUACACGCUGAUAUACACUGAUAUACAUCAGGUGUAUACAAAAACGGGAAUUGGGUUAAACCCAAAAAAUAGCAACGAAUUUGGCCCAAGAAAGGCCCAAAUUCAAUCUCUCCAUUUCUCUUAAAUUAUUUAAUUGCGAUUAUUUAUUGUUUGUUGUUUAUUAACUCUAACUUUAAAACUAUUAAUUUCCCAAAAGAUGAACUAUAUUCUUUAUGUUAGUAAAACCUUUUUAUCAACUCAUGUACUUUAUUUGAAAAUCUUUAGUCAAAACUUUUUAUUUAUUCUUUAAUUAACUUAAAAUGGUCCAUGCUUAAAUUAACCAAUUUGGUUUAAAUUAUUAUUUUAAAAGUAUAUCAAGUAAUUUCUAAUUAAUCUAGCUUUGUUAAAAUUCUAUCCAC
rnacentral:lncRNA from 1 species